UUUUUUUUUUCUUUUUUUUUUUUUCCAUUUUCCCCUUCAAGGGCACAGACAGCCCUCUUAGCAGCUUAUUGAUUUUUUUACUUUAUGAUUUCUGACUGCAAGAGAACAGAGAUCACCAACUUCAUCAAGUCGCGAUCAUAUGUAUGCAUUAUAAAAGAGUUCUAAGCACAUUUACAUUUUUCACAUUUCCCCAAAGAAUGCUUCCUUGCAUAUAGUUAGCAACUUAUGCCGUUAUAUAUGGAGACAAGAGGAGAGAGAUAGAAGUUCCCUAUUCAGCCAAUUUUGUUUAAUCAAAGCUUUGGGAAAUAAAAUAGUGCCAUCUUAUCCACAUUCCCUUUCCCCUGCAAGAUUGGAGUAUGAAAACAAGAUGUCUGAGAACCUCAGAGGAUUCAUUUAGGCAAGGUUUGAGGAAAACAUCUCAUCCAGCCUCUACAUUUGGUAGAGGAGAAAACUGAAGCCCGGGGAAGUCAAGUGACCCCAGAAAUUCAAGUCUCUCAGCACAUUAGUGGCAUGAUCAGGACGAGAGUCUUGUCCAGACCUGGUCCAGGGACAUCAUUUCAUAAAAUACCAAAGGAAAGAAUAGAAACAAAUCAACAAAAGGUGGGCUCACGUGCUCUGCCCUCUGGAUCUUGCAUAGUCACCCACAUAAAUGCAUCACACUUCCUUCAUCUGAAAAGUGAGAAUAACAGCACCUGGAUCUCUCUCUUCCAGGAGUGGAGUCAUUGAGGAGAUCGGAUGUUUGGGGAGGGCUUGGAGUUACCAGGGGCAAAUCAUCCGAAGCCUGAGGACUUGGCAUCAUGGUGGUUUUCCCCGAGUGCGGAGCUCUCAGCCCUACCAUCAUAUUUGGAGCCAAACCACCCCCAUCAAGGCACAGCUGGCUCAGAGGCCACAGGGCAAAGGCUCCCACCCAUAUCUGGAGUGCGAUAUAGCAGAGUAUUCAUUUGGAUAAUCCCAGAGAUUUCUUUGGAGUCAGGGGAAACACAACCCCAAACAGCAGAAGCAAACACCCUUCAUUAGUUAUUUGAGGAAAAAGUAGAGCAAAAACACUUCUAAAAAUGAGCCCUGUUGUAAAAAAAAUAAAAAUAAAAAAAGUGAGAGCAAGAUCAAGUACGAUCAAAAGCUAGUGAAAUGGAACUGGUGGUUUCAUCCAUGUUUUGAAGAACUCUCCUUGAGCAAAAAAAUCCAUCUAACCCAACUUCACAGAGACAUGGACUGUCUGCAAGUCUCUUUGGAUGAAUCGGUUCAUGUCAGGACUAGAUAUCCUCCCUCAAGUUAACAAAGAGGUAAAAGGUAAAGGAAGGGAACCACCUCUCAUUUUUAAUCCGACUUUGAGAAUGUGCCUGGAUCUCAGUGUGUGUUUCGCCUACAUUUCAAUCAUCCCAGCACAAUAUGGUGAUAAUGCUUAGCAAUAAGUUUGCCUAUCUCAGUUCACUGCUCUAUUUCAUUGUUCCAAGAUGGCUUAAAUAGGAAAGUGGUUGAAAUGCACCGAAGCACUUGCUCAGAGCUUUGCUUCCUUUACUCUCUCUCCCUGCCUUUAGCACCCUCUUCCAUCUCCUCAUAGAGACAAGUACAAGCCCUAGGCAGCUCACCCUAAGUAAGAGGGAGGCUGAGUAAACAAAACAUAGGGAGUGCUCUAGAAAAUGUUCAAGUGAAGGCCCUUGAGUAGGCUAGUUCUUGGGCAUCCGAAGCCUUAGAACUACCAGAAAAGAUUGGAGGGGCUGGGGAAGAGGAAGCAAAUCGGCCCAUCAAUAAGAUGAUUUGGGUCACUAACAGCUGGAAUGAUGGAAUACAUCUUUUCAUUCUGUAUUAUUUGAAGGCAUUGUAAAUAGGAGUUAGGUCUUCAACACACCUCCAUUUUGAAUAUGCAAAUUAGGUUAAUUAGUGUUGAUGGCCAGCCCUUGUCACUAAAAUCCUCCUGCUAAAGGACAGACAGCACGUUCCAAGGCUGGUGUUCAUCCUUCUUCAGGAAUAGAGAGCAAAGCAGUGUCCUUCUCUCAUCUUUUUUGACAGCCAAGUUUAAAAUGGUGGAGGUUUUUAGGAUGUUGUCUACCAUAAUUGUAUGCUUAGAUCUGUAUAUGGCACGAUGAGUUGGUAGGCAUCAGGAAAGGCUGCGGCUAAAUUCCACGACUUAAAAAGAUUCCUAGGGGGUGGGAUCUGAGGCAGACAGAGUCACAAAAGGCUUCUGCGCUCGAUGGAGGGGGUUGAAAUUACGGAAGAGUCUGUUAUAGAUGUGAACCUCUUGCUGUAUUUCAAAGGCUGUGUUUCUUGAAACAUUUUAAUGUCCUCCCUCAGUUGGAAUCAUCUGUGUCCAAAAUAACAAAUGGUCCCAUACUUGUCCCCCCUCUCUGUACCUCAGGAGGCUUGCUUUUUUUUGAAGUCGAUGGAAAUUGGUGUGGAAAUCAUGGGGGAGGUCCAGAGAAGGCUAAAAUCAGCCAUUCAAAGCCGCCGGUAACCCCUGGACCCCCCUCUCAAUUGCUAUUUCCAUGUCACAGACAUUUUUUUUUCAUUUUAAAACAUUCUGAGAUAUUUCCAUGGUGUUGUGGCUAACCAUUUUUAGUCAGUUAAAAAAAAAUGCCUUUAUCACCUCCCACCAGGAAACUCAUGGAACACACUGUUGGAGAUGCUAAAACUUUUUUUUUUUUCCCAUUUCUCCUUCAAAAAAUAUUAAUGGUAAGCAUUAAAAGAGAAAGGAGAAGUCUUUAAUUUCAUUUGCAGAAAGCUGAGCUUGAAAUUAAAAAAUGGUACAUGCGACCAUAUAAGGCCUCUGUGUGGAAUCCCAAGGAAUGCACUUGAUGGUUCUAAUUGAGUGGCGGGGCAAGUACCAAGUUCUCCAUCCCGCUGAUGGAAUGCGAUGCAGGGAAUGGGCCAGGGUGGACUCUAAGCAGCAGCUCUGGGGUAGAAGGUCCCAGUUUACAAAGUCAGAAAGCUUCAGGUCCCCAAUACUCACAGAGCUGGUGGAAGGGAAGGAUGCAGGAUGUGGGAGGGAGACAGGCGCUGGGGGAGGUGAGGGGGCCGAGGCCAGACAGUCUCUCAGCUGGGCAUAAUGAAGAAGCCUGCAGUCCUGCUGAGGAGCAGGAAGGAGAGCCCCAACGAGAUCCCCUCUCAGCUGCUCUCUCUUCCAGAAAUGAAACCCAGCCCUCUUGCCCAUCCAACUGCCCUCCAGGCCAAGGACAGAGUGAUGGGGGGCCCCACAUGGAAGAGAGGCAGACCAUCCAGAUGGUCUCGGUGUUUCCCUCAAGCAACAGAGGGCACUCACUUUUAAUAGCUUACCCAGGAGAAUGUGCAACUUGGGUUAAAAAAAAAAAAAAAAAGAGUAUCAUGCUUUCGUUUUAUACUGUGGUCUCCAUACACUGUGGCCAGAUGCCAGGCACAGUUAGUUCUCUACCAGCAGAAAAGGAUGGCACCAAACAGGAAUAUACUCACAGACUCACACAGACUCUUGGCUGUCUGUUUUCCUCCUGCAUAUUGGGAAGAAAUACACAUGAAUACCAUAAGAUUAUUAUUAUUUUUCUUGAAAAGGGCAUGGGACUAAGUGAGAUGAAGUUGGAGGGGAAAAGAGUCAAGGAAAUAAAACCAAGAGAAGACACUGUAAUUCUUUAUAAAAAGAGCUUGGUGUCUACAAAAUUUCCCGCAAAGGCUUUCACCGCCAAGUGCGUCAUAAAUCCACCCAUCGUCAGAAGAAGAGAAUUUGGCAUCUAGAAGGGAGAUCUAGUGUGCUGAACUCUUGACCGGGUUCUCAUUUCCCCACCUAUUUCCUAUCUCUGGAAAGGUCCUCUAAAAAGUAUUGAUUGAGAUACCUGCACUAAAGCCCAUUGAUGAGCAAAUGUUACAGGUUGAAUUUUGCCCUCACCCCAAAAUUCUUAUGUUGAGGUCCUAACCCCAGUGCCUCACAAUGUGAACUUAUUUGGAAAUAGGGUCAUUAAGAGAUGUAAUUAGUUAGAAAGAGGUCAUACUGGAAUCGAAUGAGCCCUUAAUUCUCUAGAACUGGUGUCCUUAUAAAAAGAAUACCACUGAAGAGAAAAAGAUAAUGAGAGAGAAGAUAAUGUGAAGAGACAGGAGGAGAAGGCAGCCAGCUGCAAGUCAAGGAGGAGGAUUAGAACGGAUCCUUCCUUCACAGAUCUCAGAAGGAACUGCUCCUGCUGACAGCCUUAAUUUUAGCCUUCAGAACUGUGAUAUAAUACAUUUCCAUUGGUCAAGCCUCUCAGUGUGUAAUACUUUGUUAUGGCAGCCCUAGCAAACGACUGUAGUUUCAAAAGAGCAAAAUGGUAUCACAAAAUAUCAAAAAAUAAUAAAAACUAACAUCUCGAGGAGGAAUUUCUUUGUGCCAGGGCCUAGGUUGUACUAUAUAUUCAUGACGUCUCUGAAUCCUCACAGUUGCAAUCUGGUGGUUGCCUCAGGAUGUGAUGUCUGGAGCUAUAGCAACCAUCUUUGUCCAUGAAGACUGAUGCCAACAAACUGAGGAUGUCAGAGGAGAAAGGCAGAAGAUACCUGGGUCCUUCAUGGCCGCUGAAAUUAAUCAACCCUAGAACCUUUUGUCUUGAGACUUUUUUUGAUGUGAGAUAAUAAUCUCUUUAUUAUUUAAGCCCCCUUAUGUUGGAUCUUUUGUUGCUUAUUGUCAGGUGCAUCCUAACAGACACAAUUCCCUGCAGUUAAAUGUGUUGUUUUUUUUAAAUCAACUUCCUCCAAAGGUAAGGGUUAUGUUGUUUUCAGUUUUAUACUUCUAGAUCCACCCACAGGGACAGGCAUAUGGAGGUAAAAUUCAGUGUUUGUUGAAUAAGUAAAUUGAUGCAUGUAUCCUCAAGCAGACAAUAUCAGUGGCAUUUAACAGAUGGAGAGAUGCAGACUCCAUGAGUUGAACUGAGAUGCUGAAGAUCAUUCAGUGAUUCAGUGAGGGGGAGGGGGAUUCCCGACCUCCUCAUUUUCACAUUUCUUUGCCACCAGUGCCCUUUUGUAUGAUUAUGGAAUUCUCUCUCCACUAUGGCUUUCUUCCCCAAUACUUUCACCUUGGACAUGAUGAGCAAACUUCCUAUUUCUGCACUGUUUAGAAUUUGUUAUCCUAUCUGUAAAUGCUUUACCUAUUUGUAUCAGUAAGCAUCUAGAAGCCAGGGACCACAUCUGUGCUGUUAUCUUUGUGCAGUCCCUGAUAGGGCUCGAGUUUAAUUUGGCAGUAAAUAAAUUCCUCUGCAUGAUGAUGAUAUCGGAAAACAUAAAAUGAACUCCUCAGAGAAAUAAUCUUCUCUCCUUAGCCUGUGUCCUAUAUGCUCUUCAGGAGGGAAAGGCUAAAUGAGAAAUUAGUAGGAUGGGAAGCACUUUGUGCCUGUGGUCUGGACCACAUAGGUGUUUCGUUUUUGUUUUUUACGUUUGUGAGUUUGAAUUCUUUGUACAAGCGGUUUUUUGUUUGUUUGUUUGUUUGUUCUUUAGGGCCACACCUGCAUAUGGAGGUUCCCAGGCUAGGGAUUGAAUCAGAGCUACACUGUCCGCCUACACCACAGCCAUAGCAACUCGGGAUCUGAGCCGCAUCUGCGACCUACUCCACAGCUCAUGGCAACACCAGAUCAUUAACCCACUGAGUGAGGACAGGGAUCAAACCCACAACCUCAUGGUUCCUAGUCGGAUUUGU
rnacentral:lncRNA from 1 species